rnacentral:rRNA from 1 species
GACGUAGGGGGCCAGCGUUGCUCGGAAUUACUGGGCGUAAAGGGUUCGUAGGCGGUGUGGCAAGUCGGGAGUGAAAUCUCCAGGCUCAACUUGGAGGCUGCUUCCGAAACUGCCGCGCUAGAGUGCGAGAGAGGCCAGUGGAAUUGCAGGUGUAGCGGUGAAAUGCGUAGAUAUCUGCAGGAACACCAGUGGCGAAGGCGGCUUGCCAGAAUGCGCUCGACGGUGAGGGAUGAAAGCUGGGGGAGCAAACCGG